GGGGAGAACGGGCUGCGGGAGGUGUCGGGGCUGUGUCCGUCGUGUUUGGAAAGUCGUGGCGGUCAGGUGGAGUCACCGAUGACUGGAAAAAGGGAAACAUCGCUCCCGUUUUUAAUAAAGGGUAGAAAGGAGGACCCGGGGAACUGCAGACGGGGAGCCUCCCCUUUGUGCCUGAGAAGUUCAUGGAACAGAUCCUCCUAGAGGCAACGUUAAGGUACAUGCAAGACAAAGCUUCACCAAGGGCAGAUCCUGCCUGACCGAUCUGGUGGCCUUCAGUGGUGGAGUGACAGCAUCACUCCAAGCAUCACUCCAAGGACAAGGAUGCUUUCAGUAAGCAUGCAUAGUUUCUUCCCUGGACUGCCCAGAACUCAUAUUCUUGAAAGAGAAGCCUUCAAAUGUCACAGACCUGCCCCAUCCCACAUGCACAACCUGACCUCUGAAGACACAGUUGUUUCCUUCUACUGUAAAAACAACUAUGUCGAAGACAUGAUACCAAAACAUCAAAAGGGUAGUUAAAUCUCAGCAGUUACUUAUUUUUCCUGAAGUAUUCAUACACUGAUAUGUUGUCUUUAUUAAAAUCAUGUAUAAUGUUUGUAGGGGGGUAUUUAAAAUCCUCAUCACUCAACACAGAUAAGAGUUGGCUGAUUUUCAAAUCAUUAUUUGAGGCCUUUGCACAUGGCCCUGGAUAUUGUUACUUCAAUAAUUUUUUUUUGCUUCUUCCAGCAAUUGUUCUUGGAAAACUUCCUUUGGGCUAUCAUACCUCACUGAGAUAGAAAAGACCUUUUUUUCUUCACCCCUCUAGCAAGAGGGAAGUGAAAGGAGAGAAAAAAUAUCUCAAGCAAGGAGGGGGGGGAGGAAAUUAUCAAGAAUGAUUGGGUAGCAAUUAGAAGACCAAAACAACAUCUACCACUUUCUAUACAUUGAUGUACGUUAACAUUUGCCAUAAAGUUAAACACCUCAAAUUACUUUGUGCUACUAAUCACAGCCACUAUUUUACCUACUUUUCAAUACUUAGUCAAGUAUUAAGCUCUUUUUAAGUACACAAAAGUCCUAUGAAGUCACUGAAACUGUACCUGUUUACACUUCAUGUGAAAGUGUCCCAGUUCGUACAACUUUUUCCAUUGAAGUAUUUAAAACAAGGAAGAGCCAUAGAGGAACUUGAGCAGUAAUAUGAACUGUGCAGUAUGUAAAAUAACCUAGAAUGAUACUGUUCCCACAGUAUCUCAUGCAGACAACUUUUCCAUAAAUAGACCAGUAUGUUCAAACAUAAGGCAAACAGACAUAGGAAGCCACUAAAAAGCUCAGAUGUGUAAUUCCCUUUAUGUAGUACACAUCCAAUUUCAUUUAAGUGCUAUAAAAGUAAUCCUAAAACAUAUCAUUAGGAAUUGUAUUUUAAAAAAAAACUUUUGUUUUCAGUGUUUGUUUGUCUAACAAGCUGCUUACAGAAUUGAUUUUUUUUAUUCUGAAAGUAGAUUUUUUAAAAUCUAAUUUCCAGAGAGACACUGUUUACUGCAAGCCUUACUAUAGUUCACUGAGCUGGUGCUUUGACAGACAUGCAGUCUGUUACUUAGUAAUAGCAACCACAUUUUAUUUUUUUUUUUUAUAAUCCAUAAAAUAUAAGAAUUCUAAAGGCAGAUUUUUUAGGAAACUGUAAACAAUACUCCAAGACUUAUUGGCAAUAAAGAAAGUGACCUUUAGUCUUUUAGGAUUUAAAUUUCUCUGCCAAACUGGAAUUUUGGAAGCUUGGAAUCUAUUUCCACAUUAAUUUUCUGGAAUUAAUUCUGGACAAGUUUGGAAACUUGUCUCUGAGGAAGAGUCAAAAUCUAUUUCCAGUCCAGACUCAUCAGAAUUUGGGAGAAAAUUAGGAUAGGAGUCUGACUGCUCCUUUGGAUUAGCAGAAACAUGUUUCAUAACUGAGUCCAUGUAUUGUGAAGACUCCCAGAGCCAGGUUUCAAUGUCCACAGAAGAGUGAGACACUUUAAGAUGACAGUAUGAGGAAUGAAAUUCCACAGUAGAUGGGGCAGUUCGACAUUUCCUUAACGAUGCAUAAUUGUCUUUCCUGUUUAAGAAGAAAAAAAAAGAUUACUAAUGUUUCAAUGACAAUUCUAUUACUGUUCAGAUACUUUACAGGGAAUCUCCAUGAGGAAGAACACUACAGGAAAAUGGUUAAUACUAAAUGCAUUUAAUGAGUCAGGACGUAGGACAACAGGAAAAUAAUCUUAAAGCAAUCUUACCUAGAAUAAGGGCAAUCUACCAUUAUGUAUUGUCCAUAGAAAUAGGUAUAAAAUUGUUACGUUAAAAAUCAUCGUACUGUUCUGAUAAGCUUAGAUGGAGAGACGCAGCUCAUACCUCAUACAUUACCACUUGAGGAGUUCUGAUCUCCCCCAGCUAUCCACCUGGAGUAUUUGGUCACUUACCAGUCACAGUGGUUAGCAAACAUUAAUUAGCAUGGUCUCAACAUUCACAAGCAAAGAUAGUUGUUCGACUUCAUGAACACCAUCUCUGCAUUACACUUCACAACCAGCUAAGUAUCACCAACUUAAAUAGCUGGAACAGAACUUUAAGCUUUACAACAGCACCUGAACCACCAGGUUAGUCCUUUGUAAUUUGAGAAGCAGGAACUGAAGUUGUCACCAAGAAUACACAUCUUUUUUUCAAAAAAAGUUCUGUCUUCUCUCUCUUUCAGUGUCUUUGCAAAUAGACAACA